GUCACGAACAUGUGCAACCACUUCCUGGUGACAAAGUGUUUUUUUUUUUUUUUUUUUUUUUGAUAUUGGGAACAUUUUUUACUUGAAUUAUUAAGCUAUCAAUGUUAAGUGAUGCUAAUUAAGCCAGGCAGUCAGUUACUCUUUUCUUGCUAUAUGAGCCAUGACUUCUAAAAUUAGCACAAUUUGUUUAACAAGUAUUAGACAUAGUUUAUUAUUAUAUUAUAUUAGAGGGAUUAGAAUGUAACAUUAUAUUUCCUCUAACGUGAUAUAAUGAUAUAGCAACAUACAAAUUAUAGUGUCUAUUAUAGUCGUAGAAGCAUAUUAUAUUCAUUUCUUUGUUAACUGUAAAUAUAUCUUCUUUUUCUAAACAGAAAGAAGAUGAUUAUCUUUUGGAAGUAUGCAAUCUUUGCCAUGCUGCAGGAAGAUAAGGGACUCAGGGACCUCAUAUGUGUGUCGUUCCAUCCAAGGAGUUUCUUCGAUGGCUAAUCGUUCUUUGCACCCCUACUUGAAAAACAUCUUUAAACUUUUUAACUAGAGGUGUGGAAAAGAUUAGGCUAGUUCAAGGAAUGCUUCGGAGGUUUCGUACUUUAUUCAACUUACGAAGUGCGAUUCGUGGCAAUAAUAGUAAGGGACAGUAUGACCUAUCAGUCAAGAUAGUACACGAAAGCGAAGUCAAUUGUCCUCCUUUCUCAUUUUCGUAUAUUGAAAUGUGGUCUUGAUGAGAUUGACAAAGUUAUGCAAGAGUUCAAAGGCAUGCUUUCUUGGUCUACUGAAGAUCCCCAAGACGCAUCAAGGUGUGUGUUUUCAUUCGGUAGGUUUAAAAGACUAUGAGUAGCAUCUAUUCGGCAGACAAGCUCUAAAGAUUGACUAGCAUCUGUGUUGGGUUGAAAAGUCAACACUUUUUAUAAAUAUAUUUAAUUUUGUAAAUAGUUAUUUUGCUGAAUUAGUUACAUAACUAUUGCUGUAUCAUGAUCACCUUUUUCGAAUAAAAUAACUUAAGAGGUUGUAAUCACCCGUUCGAUCUA